rnacentral:rRNA from 1 species
GACGGAGGGUGCUAGCGUUGUUCGGAAUUACUGGGCGUAAAGGGCGCGUAGGCGGUCUGUCGCGUCUGCUGUGAAAACUCGGGGCUUAACCCCGGGCCUGCAGUGGGUACGGGCAGACUAGAGUGCGGUAGGGGAGACUGGAAUUCCUGGUGUAGCGGUGGAAUGCGCAGAUAUCAGGAGGAACACCAAUGGCGAAGGCAGGUCUCUGGGCCGAUACUGACGCUGAGGAGCGAAAGCGUGGGGAGCAAACAGG